GUGGGUAUAGCCCAUUUGUAAAGCAUGUGCUUAGGAUGCACAAGGUCCUGGGUUUAAUCCCUAGUACCUCCA
rnacentral:tRNA from 1 species